CCUACGGGGGGCAGCAGUGGGGAAUAUUGGACAAUGGGGGGAACCCUGAUCCAGCCAUGCCGCGUGUGUGAAGAAGGCCUUUUGGUUGUAAAGCACUUUAAGCGAGGAGGAGGAGCUCUAGACUAAUACUCUAGAUGCUUGGACGUUACUCGCAGAAUAAGCACCGGCUAACUCUGUGCCAGCAGCCGCGGUAAUACAGAGGGUGCAAGCGUUAAUCGGAUUUACUGGGCGUAAAGCGUGCGUAGGUGGUCUUUUAAGUCGGAUGUGAAAUCCCUGAGCUUAACUUAGGAAUUGCAUUCGAUACUGGGAGACUAGAGUAUGGGAGAGGAUGGUAGAAUUCCAGGUGUAGCGGUGAAAUGCGUAGAGAUCUGGAGGAAUACCGAUGGCGAAGGCAGCCAUCUGGCCUAAUACUGACACUGGGGUACGAAAGCAUGGGGA
rnacentral:rRNA from 1 species